rnacentral:rRNA from 1 species
AUGUAUUUAUUAGAUUAAAAACCAAUGCCCUCCGGGGCUCACUGGUGAUUCAUGAUAACUUCUCGAAUCGCAUGGCCUUGCGCCGGCGAUGGUUCAUUCAAAUUUCUGCCCUAUCAACUUUCGACUGCUGGGUCUUGGCCAGCAAUGGUGACAACGGGUAACGGAGGGUUAGGGCUCGACCCCGGAGAAGGAGCCUGAGAAACGGCUACUACAUCCAAGGAAGGCAGCAGGCGCGCAAAUUACCCAAUCCCGACACGGGGAGGUAGUGACAAUAAAUACUGAUACAGGGCUCUUUUGGGUCUUGUAAUUGGAAUGAGUACAAUUUAAAUCCCUUAACGAGGAACAAUUGGAGGGCAAGUCUGGUGCCAGCAGCCGCGGUAAUUCCAGCUCCAAUAGCGUAUAUUAAAGUUGUUGCAGUUAAAAAGCUCGUAGUUGAACCUUGGGCCUGGCCGGCCGGUCCGCCUCACCGCGUGCACUGGUUCGGCCGGGCCUUUUCCUCUGGCGAGCCCCAUGCCCUUCACUGGGCGUGUGGGGGAACCAGGACUUUUACUUUGAAAAAAUUAGAGUGUUCAAAGCAGGCCUAUGCUCGAAUACAUUAGCAUGGAAUAAUAGAAUAGGACGUGCGGUUCUAUUUUGUUGGUUUCUAGGACCGCCGUAAUGAUUAAUAGGGACAGUCGGGGGCAUCAGUAUUCAAUUGUCAGAGGUGAAAUUCUUGGAUUUAUUGAAGACUAACUACUGCGAAAGCAUUUGCCAAGGAUGUUUUCAUUAAUCAGGAACGAAAGUUAGGGGAUCGAAGACGAUCAGAUACCGUCGUAGUCUUAACCAUAAACUAUGCCGACUAAGGGAUCGGACGAUGUUAUUUUUUG